CUUAAUGAUAUUGAUGGCCUCUAUCUAUGUGCAAUCUGAUCUCUUUCAACAAAUUUAGAAACGGCAUCUAAGGGAUACACAUUUAAUCUACUUGACAAAUGAAGUAUAAAUGGGAUUGAAGUCGAAUUUUUAAAUUUUGGACGAUGGCCUUUUGAGUUUUGGAAUAGAGUAUGUGUUCUAAAUGAUCCAAUUAUCAAUAACCAAAUCUUGAAGCAGGGUAAUAAUUCAAAGUAUGUGAUAAUACGGAUUAUAUUGUUGAUUACUUUUUAAUUUUAUGGAUUUUCAGACAAGGUCGCACCUCUUGUAUGUGAUAAUUUGGGGGGCGUGACAAAGGUGGUGUCGGAGCAUGAUUUAAGGAUUACUAAGAUAUUUGAUUCAUUUGAUAUGCAAAAUGAUAUUGAGGUUUUGUAAAGACAUCUGGUCCUCUUGAGGAAUGAAGUAGGAAAGGUAGUGAAGUCGAAAUUUUAAAUUUUCGAGGAUGGUUUAUUGAGAUUUGGGAUUGAGUGUGUGUUCGAACUGACCCAAAUUAUGAUUUGAAUAUUAUGAUAAAAGGGCAUGACUUAAUGAUAUUGAUGGCCUCUAUCUAUGUGCAAUCUGAUGACUUUCAACAAAUUUAGAAACGGCAUCUAAAGGAUACACAUUUAAUCUACUUGACAAAUGAAGUAUAAAAGGGAUUGAAGUCGAAUUUUUAAAUUUUGGACGAUGGCCUUUUGUGUUUGGGAAUAGAGUAUGUGUUCUAAAUGAUCCAAUUAUCAAUAACCAAAUCCUGAAGCUGGGUAAUAAUUCAAAGUAUAUGAUAAUACGGAUUAGAUUGUUGAUUACAUUUUAAUUUUAUGGAUUUUAAGACAAGGUCGCACCUCUUGUAUGUGAUAAUCUGGUGGGCGUGACAAAGUUGGUGUCAGAGCAUGAUUUAAGGAUUACUAAGAUAUUUGAUUCAUUUGAUAUGGAAAAUGAUAUUGAGGUUUUGUAAAGACAUCUGGUCCUCUUGAGGAAUGAAGUAGGAAAGGUAGUGAUGUCGAAAUUUUAAAUUUUCGAGGAUGGCUUAUUGAGAUUUGGGAUUGAGUGUGUGUUCGAACUGACCCAAAUUAUGAUUUGAAUAUUAUGAUAAAAGGGCAUGACUUAAUGAUAUUAAUUGCCUCUAUCUAUGUGCAAUUUACUCUCUUUUAACAAAUUUAGAAACUUCAUCUAAGGGAUACACAUUUAAUCUACUUGACAAAUGAAGUAUAAAAGUGAUUAAAGUCGAAUUUUUAAAUUUUGGACGAUGGCCUUUUGAGUUUUGGGAUAUAGUAUGUUUUCUAAAUUACCCAAUUAUCAAUACCCAAAUCCUGAAGCAGGUUAAUAAUUCAAAGUAUUUGAUAAUACGGAUUAGAUUGUUGAUUACAUUUUAAUUUUAUGGAUUUUAAGAUAAGGUCGCACCUCUUUUUUGUGAUAAUUUGGGGGCGUGACAAAGGUGGUAUUGGAGCAUGAUUUAAGGAUUACUAAGAUAUUUGAUUCAUUUGAUGUGUAAAAUGAUAUUGAGUUUUAGUAAAGACAUCUGGUCCUCUUGAGGAAUGAAGUAGGAAAAGUAGUGAAGU
rnacentral:lncRNA from 1 species